rnacentral:rRNA from 1 species
AUUGAACGCUGGCGGCAGGCCUAACACAUGCAAGUCGAGCGGCGCGGCGGACGGGGGAGUAAGGCCUGGUAAUCUGCCUGGUAGUGGGGGAUCACGCCCGGGAAGGGGAGCUAAUAAAGCAUAAUAUAAGGUGAGCCUAGGUCGGAUCAGAUGGUUGGUGGGGUAAAGGCCUACCAAGGCGACGAUCCGUAACCGGUCUGAGAGGAUGCCCAGCCACACUGUACCUGAUACACGGUCCAGACUCCUACGUGAGGCAUCAGUGGUGAAUAUUGCACAAUGGGCGCAAGCCUGAUGCAGCCAUGCCGCGUGUAUGAAGAAGGCCUUCGGGUUGUAAAGCACGUUCAUCUGGGAGGCGUUACCCGCAGAGGAAGCAACGGCUAAGUCCGUGCCAGCAGCCGCGGUAAUAC